GACAUGUUCUAUAAAUGCCUGUCUUGAGUUCUUGUAGAUAAUUAAGUAGCAAAAAAGAGAAUUUGAUUCAAAAUUUUAGACUAACUAAUAUGGCAGCUACCAUAGUGGUUCUUGCCCUUGCCCUUGUGAUUUUUCCCAUAUCUUCUCCUGUGGAUGCACUGAGCUUAAGCUACUAUGACUACGCCUGCCCUCAGCUUGAGUCCACCGUUGCUAAUGCUGUCAAGAAAUCCAUGAUGAAUGAUAAAACAGUUCCAGCUGCACUGCUUCGGAUGCAUUUCCAUGAUUGUUUUAUUAGAGUAUAUAAUUAAUUUACCAUUUAUUUCCAAGUUCUUGAAAAUGGCAUUAUUUGCACACACGUUCUUACAUGUUUAUAUAUGUAUUGUUAAUUACUUCUUUUCUUGUUCCCAUUUCAAGGGUUGUGAUGGUUCUGUGCUCCUGGAAUCAGAAGGCAAGAACAAGGCAGAGAAAGAUGGGCCUCCUAACAUUUCAUUGCAUGCUUUUUAUGUUAUUGAUAAUGCAAAGAAAGCAGUCGAAGCUAUGUGCCCUGGCGUGGUCUCCUGUGCUGAUAUUUUGGCUCUAGCUGCAAGAGAUGCUGUAGCUUUGGUUCGUUCCAAAGCACUUGUACUUUUGACAUGUUGGAAUGUUCUGGUUUAUUUUAUUACAACUGUUAUAAUGGUCUCAUUUUGGUUUGGCCUUACCUUACGUACCAGUCUGGAGGUCCCAGUUGGGAUGUGCCCAAAGGAAGAAAGGAUGGAAGAAUUUCAAAGGCAACUGACACCAGGCAAUUGCCAGCUCCCACCUUUAACAUUUCCCAAUUACAGCAAAGCUUCUCUCAGAGAGGACUUUCCUUGGAAGAUCUAGUGGCUCUCUCAGGUAUAUGUAUUACUCAAUUAACCUCAACAAGAAACUCAAUUGACCAUCAUAGAAAGAGUACCUGAAAAAAAUAUAUGAAUUUAGGGGGUCACAGCCUUGGAUUCUCCCACUGUUCUUCCUUCCAGAACAGAAUCCACAACUUCAAUUCCAGUCUUGACAUCGACCCAACAAUGAACCCAUCAUUUGCAGCGAGUUUAAGGAACGUAUGUCCUAUGCACAACAAGGUUAAAAAUGCAGGUGCUACAUUGGAUUCGUCAACAACCAUAUUCGACAACGCUUACUACAAGCUACUUCUCGAAGGCAAGAGCAUUUUCUCUUCGGAUCAAGCCCUACUCACAACCCCCAAAACCAGAGCUCUAGUUUCCAAGUUUGCGCGCUCCCAGAAAGAGUUCGAAAAGGCCUUCGUAAAGUCCAUGAUCAGGAUGAGCAGUAUAAGUGGUGGACAAGAGAUUAGGCUAGACUGUAAGGUAGUUAAUUAGGUGAUGUUUGUUAUCCAUGAAAGAAUUCUAGCCAGCGUCUGUGAUUUCUUUGAAUUUAUAUUAUUUUUAAGGAGUCAGAUAUGUGAGUUUGUGGGAAUUUCAGGCCGUCGAAGUGGACGGCCGCAGGAUUGUAACAUUAUUUGUCUCUUCUGUGAUUGAUUGAUUGAAACCUGAAGGUUAAUUUGUUUUUA
rnacentral:misc_RNA from 1 species